rnacentral:rRNA from 1 species
AUUGAACGCUGGCGGCAGGCUUAACACAUGCAAGUCGAACGAGUGGCGGACGGGUGAGUAAUGGUUGGGAAUCUCGCUUCUGGAGGGGGAUUACUACGGGAAACUGGAGCUAAUCCCGCGUCCAAUAGGCUGAGCCCCAGUGGGAUUAGGGAGUUGGUGAGGUAAAGGCUCACCACGCAGACGAUCUCUAGCUGGUCUGCGAGGAUGACCAGCCCCACUGGGACUGAGACACGGCCCCGACUCCUACGUGAGGCAGAAGUGGGGAAUAUUGCGCAAGGGGGGCAAUCUGACACAGCCAUGCCGCGUUAAUGAAGAAGUCCUGCGGGUUGUAAAGUUCUUUCGGUAGCGAGGCGUUAACUACAGAAGAAGCACCGGCUAACUCCGUGCCAGCAGCCGCGGUAAUAC